UACGGGGGGGGCAAGCGUUGUUCGGAAUUACUGGGCGUAAAGGGCGCGUAGGCGGCCGGGUCAGUCGGGCCUGUAAGUGCGGGGCUCAACCCCGUGAUGGGCUCGGGACGGCUUGGCUGGGGCGCGGCAGAGGGAGACGGAAUGCCGGGUGUAGUGGUGAAAUGCGUAGAGAUCCGGCGGAACACCGGUGGCGGAGGCGGUCUCCUGGGCCGAGGGCCGACGCUGAGGCGCGAGAGCGUGGGGAGCGAACCGG
rnacentral:rRNA from 1 species